GUGAGGGGAGUGAAAUAGAACCUGAAACCGUGUGCAUACAAGCAGUCGGAGCCCCGCUACUUAAUUAUUUUGGAA
rnacentral:rRNA from 6 species